AUGGCCAUUAACAAGUUCAAGAUUGAUAUAUAUGUAAACGUAAUUAUGAAAAUCUAAAAUGAAAUCUAUAUGAAAUUGGAUAAAGUUGUCAUUCUUUGAUGGUGAACCCCGGUGAAUGUAAUACAAUACACAUUUCUUUGUUGUUUUUUUUUUUGUUUUUUUUGCAUUAUUUAUAUAUUGGUAUUGGAAUAUUGAUCAGUAUUGAGUCCCAUUUGGGAAUUGUCUUUCUUUGGUACCGUUAAACUUGCGCACGGGAAUAUUAUCGACUGAAUGCAGGAUAUAGAAAGUUAAAUAUUUAAAGAGAUGAGAAAAAAGAAGGCGACCUUGUCCCUUACACGGACAAAGCGAUAUCGGUCAAACAAGGAGUACAGGACUGCACUGAAAGCAAGUCAUCCUGUUGAUGGACCGUCAAAGUCACCACCACAGCCUAAGAUAUCAAAUAUCUUCAAGAAAAGGAAGUUCAGAUCUCCUGUGAAGUCACCCAUGACUAGGAAAUUCAUGACACCGACAAAGUCACCACACAGAAAAGGGUUUCGUCAACUGCAGUUUGGAACACCUUGUGAUAACAGUGUUGGCUCGAGUGAGGUUGGCGUCUUCUCUUCACUUUUACCAGUCUCACGAGAAAUGGUAUUGACGUCGCCACCGGACAAUAUUGGCUCACCUGGGUACAAUGAAAUCCCAAACGAUAUAAGUGUUAGCUCGAGUCAGGCUGAGAUCUUUACUGCAGUGGGUCCAAUCUCACCAGUAAUGCUGCUUACUUCAUCACCGCCCACUAUUGAAUCACCUGAGACAGAGUACACUGACAUUCCAAAUGAUAACAGUGUCAACGAUCCUAGUGAGCCCAAGGAUACGAUAAUUUGAACAUAAUAAGUUGAUUAAGUUGCUGUGUUUUUCUUUGAAAUAUCCGUAUUUAAUUUUGUAAGGGAUUGUGUAUGACAAAAUUAGAGUAUAUCUAAUCAUUAAUUCCACAUGGUAAAAUAGUCCAAAAUAAUAGUCAACAAGAAAAUAUCAAGCGUAAAGAUAUAACAAAAUUGUCGGAUGGAUAAUGUGACAAAGACAGUUCCAUAUCCGUACAAGGUUGACCAUUUUUCCUAGCGCAAAUAUGUCUAAUUAAUGUAUUAUGGAUACGCAUGAAAAAGUAAUCUGUGAGACUGUGACCAUUCCUUAUCCACCUCAGUCGCCGACACUAACAUGAUCUGGACAUUGUCCUAAUUUUGGACUUAACAUUAGUCAACUUAACUUUCGUGGUUAUCUUAGAAAUCUGCGUUUUUCAUCUAGCACCAAUAACGUUGGCGUCAAAGCUUUCAUACAAUACCUGAGCUAAUUUCCCAUGGCGUAAAUUUUAUGUGCACUUAGAUACGUGUAUGUUUAACAAAGGUAUCACCCGGGCCAACACUUAAUUAAGCCAGACUUGCUUUUAUAUUCUUUAGCGCAUAGCGCACAGACGAACAUUUUCUGAAAUAUACAAUUAAUAUUUAUUAAAAGAAUAUCAGCAUAACUAGAAAAAAAAGAAAAGGAGGAAGUUCAGGUUAAUUUACAUCCUGGUGGAUCGAUUUUUUAUCACCCGUUUACAUGGUGGAUCUUUUCAUCAGCCGUUUACAUGAUGGAUCUUUUUAAAUUUUCUCUCAAAACAUCCUAAAUACAUAACCACGGGACAAACUUGAACGUUGAUGAUAGUGUAUGGGGAUUUUGAAAGACCCGACGACAAUUGUUCGAGCUCGUGCACGGUUGUAUAAGCGGCUAUUAAGCCAGACAUGCAAAUCUAUUCCGUCUACGCAGUGGAUCUUUGAGAAAAAAAUUUAAACAACGUAAUCUAUAAAACUACAAGGACUGUUAGAAAAGUAUAUACACCGGGGACACUAUAGGACAUAUAGUUCUUCAAUGCACCGAAAGAGAUUUUGCAAAACUGUUUAGUUUGAAAUGUAGCCGAAAUACAACGCAGUGUCAAGGCCGCUUCCAGCAUGGCUCCGCUCCAUAUAUACGGCAUGCAAGGGUUUCUGGAUGAAAUAGUUUUCACGGCCAUAUUUGACCUUUCCUUCGAGCCUCAAGGGAACACCCAGCUCAAGGGAUAUUCUUCAUUGUCCUCAUUCAUCAUUUAUGGAAGUUUUAGCUUUUUAUGGAGAGAUUGUAUGUGUAUUUAUACAUACAACGCGGGGUGCAGUGGUACUUUAGACUUCCAUUGUACAUGUAUACUUUACACGUGAGAAUUCACGUUCGGCUUUGUUCUAAGGCAAUUUGACGCAUGUUCCUGGGACUACAGCCACUACCCGCUGAAUCUGAUGGGACUUAUUACCCUCGUGUACGCCCCAGGGUGGUUGCUUUUAUGUGUUUAUCAAGACAUUCUCGCACAUUUUCUUC